ACACGUAGGUGGCGAGCGUUGUCCGGAAUUACUGGGCGUAAAGGGCGCGUAGGCGGUUUGGCAAGUCACAUGUGAAAUACCCGGGCUCAACCCGGGGGGUGCAUGUGAAACUGCUAGACUUGAGUGCGGUAGAGGAAAGUGGAAUUCCUAGUGUAGCGGUGAAAUGCGUAGAUAUUAGGAGGAACACCAGUGGCGAAGGCGGCUUGCUGGACAAAUACUGACGCUGAGGUGCGAAAGCGUGGGGAGC
rnacentral:rRNA from 1 species